rnacentral:rRNA from 1 species
GAUGAACGCUGGCGGCGUGCCUAAUACAUGCAAGUCGAGCGAACGGACGAGAAGCUUGCUUCUCUGAUGUUAGCGGCGGACGGGUGAGUAACACGUGGAUAACCUACCUAUAAGACUGGGAUAACUUCGGGAAACCGGAGCUAAUACCGGAUGAUAUUUUGAACCGCAUGGUUCAAAAGUGAAAGACGGUCUUGCUGUCACUUAUAGAUGGAUCCGCGCUGCAUUAGCUAGUUGGUAAGGUAACGGCUUACCAAGGCAACGAUGCAUAGCCGACCUGAGAGGGGGAGCGGGAACAGGGGAGAAGAGAACAAGGCGGGAAGCAGCAGGGAGGCAGAACGAGGGGAUAGUGAGGAAGGUGGAAAAACCAGAAGGCGAAAAGAAUAGGGAAGGAUGAAUGUCUAAGAAUCGGAAAACACUGUGAGUAGGGAAGAAGAGAUGGGCAAGGAAAACUGCGCACCAGGAGAGGAGGUAAUAAGAGGAAGAGCGCGAAUGCAGCC